GUGGCAGUGGCGUCGUACUGUAAUGCAGUCGAGCGAACUGAUUAGAAGCUUGCUUCUAUGACGUUAGCGGCGGACGGGUGAGUAACACGUGGGCAACCUGCCUGUAAGACUGGGAUAACUUCGGGAAACCGAAGCUAAUACCGGAUAGGAUCUUCUCCUUCAUGGGAGAUGAUUGAAAGAUGGUUUCGGCUAUCACUUACAGAUGGGCCCGCGGUGCAUUAGCUAGUUGGUGAGGUAACGGCUCACCAAGGCAACGAUGCAUAGCCGACCUGAGAGGGUGAUCGGCCACACUGGGACUGAGACACGGCCCAGACUCCUACGGGAGGCAGCAGUAGGGAAUCUUCCGCAAUGGACGAAAGUCUGACGGAGCAACGCCGCGUGAGUGAUGAAGGCUUUCGGGUCGUAAAACUCUGUUGUUAGGGAAGAACAAGUACGAGAGUAACUGCUCGUACCUUGACGGUACCUAACCAGAAAGCCACGGCUAACUACGUGCCAGCAGCCGCGGUAAUACGUAGGUGGCAAGCGUUAUCCGGAAUUAUUGGGCGUAAAGCGCGCGCAGGCGGUUUCUUAAGUCUGAUGUGAAAGCCCACGGCUCAACCGUGGAGGGUCAUUGGAAACUGGGGAACUUGAGUGCAGAAGAGAAAAGCGGAAUUCCACGUGUAGCGGUGAAAUGCGUAGAGAUGUGGAGGAACACCAGUGGCGAAGGCGGCUUUUUGGUCUGUAACUGACGCUGAGGCGCGAAAGCGUGAGGAGCAAACAGGAUUAGAUACCCUGGUAGUCCACGCCGUAAACGAUGAGUGCUAAGUGUUAGAGGGUUUCCGCCCUUUAGUGCUGCAGCUAACGCAUUAAGCACUCCGCCUGGGGAGUACGGUCGCAAGACUGAAACUCAAAGGAAUUGACGGGGGCCCGCACAAGCGGUGGAGCAUGUGGUUUAAUUCGAAGCAACGCGAAGAACCUUACCAGGUCUUGACAUCCUCUGACAACUCUAGAGAUAGAGCGUUCCCCUUCGGGGGACAGAGUGACAGGUGGUGCAUGGUUGUCGUCAGCUCGUGUCGUGAGAUGUUGGGUUAAGUCCCGCAACGAGCGCAACCCUUGAUCUUAGUUGCCAGCAUUUAGUUGGGCACUCUAAGGUGACUGCCGGUGACAAACCGGAGGAAAAGGGGGGGGAUGAACGUCAAAUCAUCAUGGCCCCUUAUGAACCGGGGCUAACCCCUGGUUACAAAGGGAGGGGGACAAAGGGGUUCCAAAACCCCCGAGGGCAAACCCAUCCCCUUAAAAACAUUUUUCAUUUUGGGAAUUGGGGGCGGCAACCCCCCCCCUUGAAACUGGGAUACCCUUUAAAUCCCGAAUUAACAUGGCCCCGGGGGAAAAAAUUUCCCGGGCUUUUUUAAAACCCCCGGUCCACCCCCACAAAAUUUUUUAACCCCCCAACCACCCGGG
rnacentral:rRNA from 1 species